rnacentral:rRNA from 1 species
UACGGAAUGUGCAAACGUUAUUCGGAAUCACUGGGCUUAAAGAGUCCGUAGGCGGCCUGUUAGGUGAGGUGUGAAAUCCCCCGGCUCAACCGAGGAAUUGCGCUUCAAACCGGCAGGCUUGAGGAGGAUAGAGGUGGGCGGAACUGAUGGUGGAGCGGUGAAAUGCGUUGAUAUCAUCAGGAACACCGGAGGCGAAAGCGGUCCACUGGGUCCUUUCUGACGCUGAGGGACGAAAGCUAGGGGAGCGAACGGG